rnacentral:rRNA from 1 species
UGGUGGAGCGAUUUGUCUGGUUAAUUCCGAUAACGAACGAGACUCUAGCCUACUAAAUAGUGUGAAGAUCAUCAAGUAGUCUUCAUUACUUCUUAGAGGGACUGAUGGCGCUUAGCCAUACGAAAUUGAGCAAUAACA